rnacentral:rRNA from 1 species
AGUGAACGCUGGCGGUAGGCCUAACACAUGCAAGUCGAACGGCAGCACAGUAAGAGCUUGCUCUUACGGGUGGCGAGUGGCGGACGGGUGAGGAAUACAUCGGAAUCUACUUUUUCGUGGGGGAUAACGUAGGGAAACUUACGCUAAUACCGCAUACGACCUACGGGUGAAAGCAGGGGAUCUUCGGACCUUGCGCGAUUGAAUGAGCCGAUGUCGGAUUAGCUAGUUGGCGUGGUAAAGGCCCACCAAGGCGACGAUCCGUAGCUGGUCUGAGAGGAUGAUCAGCCAAACUGGAAAUGAGACAAGGUCCAGAAUCCUAAGGGAGGCAAGAGUGGGGAAUAUUGGACAAUGGGCGCAAGCCUGAUCCAGCCAUACCGCGUGGGGGAAGAAGGCCUUCGGGUUGUAAAGCCCUUUUGAUGGGAAAGAAAAGCAGCAGGUUAAUACCCCGCUGGUCUGAAGGUACCCAAAGAAUAAGCACAGGCUAACUUCGUG